rnacentral:rRNA from 1 species
AUGGUAGACCACCUUCAAGUUCAGCAGCAACAACAACAGUUGGAGCUUCCAAUGGGGUUCAGGUUCCACCCUACUGAUGAGGAGAUCAUCACCUCCUACCUUGCCCCUAAGAUUCUCAACCCAGCAUUCGACGCCACAGCGAUCGGUGAGGUGGACCUGAACAAGAACGAGCCAUGGGAACUUCCCAAGAAGGCCAAGAUGGGGGAGAACGAGUGGUACUUUUACUGCCAGAAGGACCGCAAGUACCCCACCGGAAUACGAACCAACCGAGCCACAAAGGCUGGCUACUGGAAGACCACGGGUAAGGACAAGGAGAUCGUCAAUCCACAUUGCACGUCCAUGCUCAUCGGCAUGAAGAAGACAUUGGUGUUCUACAAGGGCAGAGCUCCCAGUGGGGAGAAGACCAACUGGGUCAUGCACGAGUACAGGCUCAAGAUCAACAAGCAGUCAACAACCAGCCUGCCCAGUGCCAUAGGAAAUGCUGCUUCUAUUAACAUGUCUUCCAAGGAGUAUGUGGUUUGCAGGAUCUUCCAUAAGAACGCUGGAAGUAGGCUUUCAUCCAUGGUGUCACAUGAGGGCAACGGUGGUGCAACACCCACCGACAAGAUCUGGUCGAUGAGCAUGGGUACAGAUGGGGCAUGUUGA